CCUACGGGUGGCAGCAGAGGGGAAUAUUGGACAAUGGGCGAAAGCCUGAUCCAGCCAUGCCGCGUGUGUGAAGAAGGCCUUCGGGUUGUAAAGCACUUUCAGUGGGGAAGAAAGCCUUGGGGCUAAUACCCUCGAGGAAGGACAUCACCCACAGAAGAAGCACCGGCUAACUCCGUGCCAGCAGCCGCGGUAAUACGGAGGGUGCGAGCGUUAAUCGGAAUUACUGGGCGUAAAGCGCGCGUAGGCGGUCUGAUAAGCCGGUUGUGAAAGCCCCGGGCUCAACCUGGGAACGGCAUCCGGAACUGUCAGGCUAGAGUGCAGGAGAGGAAGGUAGAAUUCCCGGUGUAGCGGUGAAAUGCGUAGAGAUCGGGAGGAAUACCAGUGGCGAAGGCGGCCUUCUGGACUGACACUGACGCUGAGGUGCGAAAGCGUGGGUAGCAAACAGGAUUAGAUACCCGAGUAGUC
rnacentral:rRNA from 1 species